rnacentral:rRNA from 1 species
CCUACGGGUGGCAGCAGUGAGGAAUAUUGGUCAAUGGACGAGAGUCUGAACCAGCCAAGUAGCGUGAAGGAUGACUGCCCUAUGGGUUGUAAACUUCUUUUAUAUGGGAGUAAAAUGUUCCACGUGUGGCAUUUUGUAUGUACCAUAUGAAUAAGGAUCGGCUAACUCCGUGCCAGCAGCCGCGGUAAUACGGAGGAUGCGAGCGUUAUCCGGAUUGAUUGGGUUUAAAGGGAGCGUAGGUGGAUUGUUAAGUCAGUUGUGAAAGUUUGCGGCCCAACCGUAGAAUUGCAGUUGAAACUGGCAGGCUUGAGUAUAGUAGAGGUGGGCGGAAUUCGUGGUGUAGCGGUGAAAUGCUUAGAUAUCACGAAGAACUCCGAUGGCGAAGGCAGCUCACUGGACUACAACUGACACUGAGGCUCGAAAGUGUGGGGAGCAAACAGGAUUAGAUACCCCAGUAGUC